rnacentral:rRNA from 1 species
CCUACGGGCGGCAGCAGUGAGGAAUAUUGGUCAAUGGACGAGAGUCUGAACCAGCCAAGUAGCGUGCAGGAUGACUGCCCUAUGGGUUGUAAACUUCUUUUAUAAGGGAAUAAAACGAGGCACGUGUACCUUUUUGCAUGUAAUUUAUGAAUAAGGAUCGGCUAACUCCGUGCCAGCAGCCGCGGUAAUACGGAGGAUCCGAGCGUUAUCCGGAUUUCUUGGGUUUAAAGGGAGCGUAGGCCGGUCUUUAAGCGUGCCGUGAAAUUUUGGGGCUCAACCCUGGGAGUGCGGCGAGAACUGGAGACCUUGAGUGUGCGGAAGGCAGGCGGAAUUCGUGGUGUAGCGGUGAAAUGCUUAGAUAUCACGAAGAACCCCGAUUGCGAAGGCAGCAUGCCGCAGCGUUACUGACGCUGAAGCUCGAAAGCGCGGGUAUCGAACAGGAUUAGAUACCCCGGUAGUC